GAUGAACGCUAGCUACAGGCUUAACACAUGCAAGUCGAGGGGUAACAAGAGGAAAGCUUGCUUUUCUUGUUGACGACCGGCGCACGGGUGAGUAACGCGUAUCCAACCUGCCUAUAACUGGGAAUAACCUUGCGAAAGUAAGACUAAUACCCUAUGAUAUCCUUUGAUGACAUCAGAUUAGGAAUAAAGAUUUAUCGGUUAUAGAUGGGGAUGCGUCUGAUUAGCUUGUUGGCAGGGUAACGGCCCACCAAGGCAACGAUCAGUAGGGGUUCUGAGAGGAAGGUCCCCCACAUGGGAACUGAGACACGGUCCAAACUCCUACGGGAGGCAGCAGUGAGGAAUAUUGGUCAAUGGGCGGAAGCCUGAACCAGCCGAGUAGCGUGCAGGGUGACGGCCCUAUGGGUUGUAAACUGCUUUUAUACAGGAAUAAAGUUAGCCACGUGUGGUUAUUUGUAGGUACUGUAUGAAUAAGGACCGGCUAAUUCCGUGCCAGCAGCCGCGGUAA
rnacentral:rRNA from 1 species